UGGUGUGUAAAAACAAAAGAGUUUAACAAAAAGUAGGUUUCAGAUUUAUACUAAAUUUUUUCAUCAAGAUCAUGAGAACCAGCAAGGAGAGCAUCUGCUGCAGAGUCCAGGUCUUGAGGAAAGAAAACUCUGCACGUAUUGUGGUACAAAGUUUCACUAAGCUGAUCGAUAUCCAUGAUGCCUUUACAUCCAGCCAAGACCUCAAGAACUUGCCGAACUAAACAUGGUUCAUUCCUUCCUUUCACUAUGCA
rnacentral:misc_RNA from 1 species